rnacentral:tRNA from 1 species
GGUGGGUUAGAUCAGUGGGUAGAGCUUAAGGCUUGUGACCAGAGGUCCCUGGUUCGAAUCUCGCAAGAGCCU